AGAUAAGAGACAGCUGACGUGCCUGGGAGCCGAGCACGAGUGAGCAGGGGAGGGUCAGUGAGGAGGAAACCGACAGGGAUGCUGCUGGUCCUUCUCGCUAAGAAUUCCUAAAUCCGCUUCCUCCUUCUCGGGUCCUCGGCCGGUGCAUCUCAAUAGGCGGUCCCGCCGGUUGUGCUGGGCUGCGAGGAGAUGUCCCCUUCUCCACGUAGCCAUUUAGCACGGCUCACUGACCCUGCGGGCCAGCCUGGGGCUGGGAACUGCCUCUGUCCCACCGUGGGGACAGGCCGACCCUGCAGGCAAAGGACAAGCAGCUGCGAAGAUUGUCCCGGGGCAGGGUCCCAGCACCGCUGCUGCGGAUUAGUUUGCCGGUCCCUGAAGUGUGGGUGUCUGCCUCAGGCUCCCCGGAGCAGCGUGCCCCCUGACACAGCCUUCCCAGGCUCCUCCCUAGGAAGGUGUCCUUGUUCACCUGGAACUGCAACUCCUGCAGCAACCUGCGUGGCCACUUUUGAGAAUUCCCUGCAUGAUUUGAAAGCUAUUUGCAAAUAGAAGUCAUCCAGGCCUCAGUUUCCAUCUACUCAAUAAAGACUCCUGUAUGUAUAACUUCAGGCCAGACCUCUCCUCUGAGCCUCAGAGCCCCAAAUCCAGCAUGGCACCCACACUGGAAUAUCUUUAAGCCACCUCAACACAUUUGAGAUGAGCCUGUAAUUUUCACCCUCAGACUGGUUUUUCCACCCAUCUCUGCCUUGUGUUCUGAAGGCCAGGAACAAAGAAGUGUGUGAGAAUCUCACGCACCCUCCAUCCUACAAGAUCCAGUCCAUCGCCAACAGCCCCACCCUACACAUGGACCACAGAGCUGCUCCAAAGGGCUCCUGUCUACCCUUUUUGGGCCUGCCCAGGGCCAGGAGAGGCUCACCCAUUGACAUCAAGCUCUGAGCAACUGUGACCCAAGAAUUCCCAGCCCAAAUGUCCCCAUGCCCACCCAUCAGCCCCUGUAUAGGUCUGUCUUCCAGAGAAUGACCCCGCUGCUGAGAUUUGCCAGCUGGACUUGGGCUCUCCAGGGCCUUGUGAAAGUGGGUCUUUCAAAGCAGAAGGACAGAAUACACUUU
ensembl:lncRNA